rnacentral:rRNA from 1 species
AUGGAGGUGGACUGUCAGGAUCUGGUUGACCUCUGGAAAUCGCGCGACAACUCAAGAUCUGUUGCAGCGCCUAUCUUGACCGAGUUAGAGGAGAUUAGUGCUUUGUUCGUUUUCUUUUCUGUUACCCAUGUCAGUAGGGAGGUUCAUGUACCUGCCCACUGAUGUGCACGUCUAGCAUGCACAUCAGAGUGGACGGAGAGUUGGCUUGAUAUAAGCCCUGAGUUCCUUCUUCCUUCCCUUCGGGCGGAUUGUAACACCAUGAUUUUCAGAUAA